rnacentral:rRNA from 1 species
AUUGAACGCUGGCGGCAGGCCUAACACAUGCAAGUCGAGCGGAUGAAGGGAGCUUGCUCCUGGAUUCAGCGGCGGACGGGUGAGUAAUGCCUAGGAAUCUGCCUGGUGGUGGGGGAUAACGUCCGGAAACGGGCGCUAAUACCGCAUACGUCCUGAGGGAGAAAGUGGGGGAUCUUCGGACCUCACGCUAUCAGAUGAGCCUAGGUCGGAUUAGCUAGUUGGUGGGGUAAAGGCCUACCAAGGCGACGAUCCGUAACUGGUCUGAGAGGAUGAUCAGUCACACUGGAACUGAGACACGGUCCAGACUCCUACGGGAGGCAGCAGUGGGGAAUAUUGGACAAUGGGCGAAAGCCUGAUCCAGCCAUGCCGCGUGUGUGAAGAAGGUCUUCGGAUUGUAAAGCACUUUAAGUUGGGAGGAAGGGCAGUAAGUUAAUACCUUGCUGUCUUGACGUUACCAACAGAAUAAGCACCGGCUAACUUCGUG